CUUCAUUACUUACAAAAAAGCCCUAGCAUAAAAUUUUCUCUCAAUAAAUUUCUCUCCAUUUUUUUCUCAAUUUAAUUAUGCAAUUCUUUAAUUUCGACAAGAUUUUCAUAAUGAGGGCAUGCAAGGUGUCUUCGAUGUGCAAGGCAUUGAAUCUUUAUUAGAAAAUUAAAGUGGGUUCGUGAAGUUCUUGAAUCGAGCCACAUACGCAAACAUCAAGCCGUUUGAGCCGCACAUGCAAGCCACCCGAGCCGGUCCUUCCUUCACAAGCCGCGUGCAAGCCAAGUCCUUUACCAAGUUGUUUCUAAGCCGUUUCCAAGUCGCUCCUUGCUUAGUCGAGCAACCAACAUCAUUUUUCUCUUUUUCCACCUAUUUUUAGCCCGUUGUGUUAAAGGUAGAAGUAAGGGUCAACUGGUGUCGUUCAGGGGGGAGCGAUAUCAGUUGGCUUCAUGACGUUGUCUCGGGCCUAGAGAGGAGAUGCUCGGGACGAGGUGUGACAAUUCUUGUUGUGAUCUGGAAUAGAAUGCAUCAUACUUGUUGUGAUCUAAUAUGGGAUGCCCCUUGCUUGUUGUAUGAUCUUCUAGAUGCGUUAUGCGUAAUGGAAUUGAUGAAACUUGCUAAAUAUGUUGUGACUACUCCGUACAACUGCAACUUGGCAAAAGAGUGUGGUAAACGCUUGAACUAAGAAAACGGUACAAAAAUGUAAUUAAAUAAGCAGAAUGAUUCUGAUGAAUGUGUUUCUACAUGAUAUAAGCCUUAUGCUUGAUUUAAAAAGGAAAUGAUUUUCCAUGCAAUUUGUAAA